ACAUCUGUUUAAAUGUAGUUUAGUUUUCAAACAAAUGUAGCAUUUUAUUUACUUAACAAAAAAAAAUGAAAAUCCCAUUUCACGAACAGUUUGGAACUUUUUUCCGGACUUACAAUAAAGAUUUAUGCAUGAUUUGUUCUCCUUGCCUAUUUGGAUCAAUGGAAUAUGUGCUUACUUUAAGUAUUAUUGGCACGUUUUUUAAUUACAGCUUACCACACUAUGGGAUUGUGUAUGUUUGACUAAUUGUGGUCAAAUUUAUUCACACUUGAAACCAAUUGAACCUAAUUUCUGUCCAGUUAUAAAAAAAUAUUUUCGAUUUUUAACAUGUGGACUUUACUUGGCGAUAUAUUCAUCGCUCGCGAUUGGAAUAAAAAUUGAACAUCCAGUUCUCCUUUUGCCAUACAUCCUUCUACAAAUGGUGAAUAUAACGCUUUUAAUAUUGGUCGCAUUUUUAUCCAUUCCGAAAUCGACUAAACUUACGAGGAAAACUCUCAUUUAUUGUGGGUUUUCCGCUUUCAAUUUUCUCCAGUGUUUUUGCAGCUUUCGUCACAUGCUUCAGUCAAGGGAUUUUUAAAUACAAACUUGAUUUUCUUUAG
rnacentral:misc_RNA from 1 species